UACGAAGGGGGCUAGCGUUGCUCGGAAUCACUGGGCGUAAAGCGCACGUAGGCGGAUCUUUAAGUCAGGGGUGAAAUCCCGGAGCUCAACUCCGGAACUGCCUUUGAUACUGGAGAUCUUGAGUCCGGGAGAGGUGAGUGGAACUGCGAGUGUAGAGGUGAAAUUCGUAGAUAUUCGCAAGAACACCAGUGGCGAAGGCGGCUCACUGGCCCGGUACUGACGCUGAGGUGCGAAAGCGUGGGGAGCAAACAGGG
rnacentral:rRNA from 1 species